rnacentral:rRNA from 1 species
UACGGAGGGUGCAAGCGUUAUCCGGAUUCAUUGGGUUUAAAGGGUCCGUAGGUGGAUUAGUAAGUCAGUGGUGAAAUCCUACAGCUCAACUGUAGAACUGCCAUAGAUACUGCUAGUCUUGAGUAAAGUUGAAGUAGCUAGAAUAUGUAGUGUAGCGGUGAAAUGCAUAGAUAUUACAUAGAAUACCGAUUGCGAAGGCAGGUUACUAAGCUUUAACUGACACUGAUGGACGAAAGCGUGGGGAGCGAACAGG